AAAUUGAACUCGCUGUGAAGAUGCAGUGUACCCGCGGCAAGACGGAAAGACCCCGUGAACCUUUACUAUAGCUUGACACUGAACAUUGAGCCUUGAUGUGUAGGAUAGGUGGGAGGCUUUGAAGUGUGGACGCCAGUCUGCAUGGAGCCGACCUUGAAAUACCACCCUUUAAUGUUUGAUGUUCUAACGUGGACCCGUGAUCCGGGUUGCGGACAGUGUCUGGUGGGUAGUUUGACUGGGGCGGUCUCCUCCUAAAGAGUAACGGAGGAGCACGAAGGUUGGCUAAUCCUGGUCGGACAUCAGGAGGUUAGUGCAAUGGCAUAAGCCAGCUUGACUGCGAGCGUGACGGCGCGAGCAGGUGCGAAAGCAGGUCAUAGUGAUCCGGUGGUUCUGAAUGGAAGGGCCAUCGCUCAACGGAUAAAAGGUACUCCGGGGAUAACAGGCUGAUACCGCCCAAGAGUUCAUAUCGACGGCGGUGUUUGGCACCUCGAUGUCGGCUCAUCACAUCCUGGGGCUGAAGUAGGUCCCAAGGGUAUGGCUGUUCGCCAUUUAAAGUGGUACGCGAGCUGGGUUUAGAACGUCGUGAGACAGUUCGGUCCCUAUCUGCCGUGGGCGCUGGAGAACUGAGGGGGGCUGCUCCUAGUACGAGAGGACCGGAGUGGACGCAUCACUGGUGUUCGGGUUGUCAUGCCAAUGGCACUGCCCGGUAGCUAAAUGCGGAAGAGAUAAGUGCUGAAAGCAUCUAAGCACGAAACUUGCCCCGAG
rnacentral:rRNA from 1 species